rnacentral:rRNA from 1 species
ACGGUGAGUAACACGUAUCCAACCUGCCGUCUACUCUUGACAGCCUUCUGAAAGGAAGAUAAUACAAGAUGGCAUCAUGAGUCCGCAUGUUCACAUGAUUAAAGGUAUUCCGGUAGACGAUGGGGAUGCGUUCCAUUAGAUAGUAGGCGGGGUAACGGCCCACCUAGUCUUCGAUGGAUAGGGGUUCUGAGAGGAAGGUCCCCCACAUUGGAACUGAGACACGGUCCAA